GAUGAACGCUGGCGGCGUGCCUAAUACAUGCAAGUCAAGCGAACAGACGAGGAGCUUGCUCCUCUGACGUUAGCGGCGGACGGGUGAGUAACACGUGGAUAACCUACCUAUAAGACUGGGAUAACUUCGGGAAACCGGAGCUAAUACCGGAUAAUAUAUUGAACCGCAUGGUUCAAUAGUGAAAGACGGUUUUGCUGUCACUUAUAGAUGGAUCCGCGCCGCAUUAGCUCGUUGGUAAGGUAACGGCUUACCAAGGCAACGAUGCGUAGCCGACCUGAGAGGGUGAUCGGCCACACUGGAACUGAGACACGGUCCAGACUCCUACGGGAGGCAGCAGUAGGGAAUCUUCCGCAAUGGGCGAAAGCCUGACGGAGCAACGCCGCGUGAGUGAUGAAGGUCUUCGGAUCGUAAAACUCUGUUAUUAGGGAAGAACAAAUGUGUAAGUAACUAUGCACGUCUUGACGGUACCUAAUCAGAAAGCCACGGCUAACUACGUG
rnacentral:rRNA from 1 species